rnacentral:rRNA from 1 species
CAAUAGCGUAUAUUAAAGUUGUUGCGGUUAAAAAGCUCGUAGUUGGAUUUCUGCUGAGAACGACCGGUCCGCCCUUUGGGUGUGUAUCUGGCUCUUUCUUGGCAUCUUCUUGGUGAACGUUGCUGCACUUGACUGUGUGGAGCGCUACCCAGGACUUUUACUUUGAGGAAAUUAGAGUGUUUCAAGCAGGCAUACGCCUUGAAUACAUUAGCAUGGAAUAAUAAGAUAGGACCUCGGUUCUAUUUUGUUGGUUUCUAGAGCUGAGGUAAUGAUUAAUAGGGAUAGUUGGGGGCAUUCGUAUUUAACGGUCAGAGGUGAAAUUCUUGGAUUUGUUAAAGACGGACUACUGCGAAAGCAUUUGCCAAGGAUGUUUUCAUUG